ACUGACCGAUAGUGAACCAGUACCGUGAGGGAAAGGCGAAAAGAACCCCUGUGAGGGGAGUGAAAUAGAUCCUGAAACCGCAUGCAUACAAGCAGUGGGAGCCGACUUGUUCGGUGACUGCGUACCUUUUGUAUAAUGGGUCAGCGACUUAUAUUCAGUAGCGAGGUUAACCGUAUAGGGGAGCCGUAGGGAAACCGAGUCUUAAUAGGGCGUUUAGUUGCUGGGUAUAGACCCGAAACCGGGUGAUCUAUCCAUGAGCAGGUUGAAGGUUAGGUAACACUGACUGGAGGACCGAACCCACUGUCGUUGAAAAGCCAGGGGAUGACUUGUGGAUAGGGGUGAAAGGCUAAUCAAACUCGGUGAUAGCUGGUUCUCCCCGAAAGCUAUUUAGGUAGCGCCUCGGACGAAUACCAUUGGGGGUAGAGCACUGUUUCGGCUAGGGGGUCAUCCCGACUUACCAAACCGAUGCAAACUCCGAAUACCAAUGAGUACUAUCCGGGAGACAGACUGCGGGUGCUAACGUCCGUAGUCAAGAGGAAAACAAUCCAGACCGCCAGCUAAGGCCCCUAAAUUAUAGUUAAGUGGGAAACGAUGUGGGAAGGCAUAGACAGCUAGGAGGUUGGCUUAGAAGCAGCCACCCUUUAAAGAAAGCGUAAUAGCUCACUAGUCGAGUCGGCCUGCGCGGAAGAUGUAACGGGGCUAAAACUAUAUGCCGAAGCUGCGGAUUUGCAAUUUAUUGCAAGUGGUAGGGGAGCGUUCUGUAAGCCGAUGAAGGUGGAUUGAGAAGUCUGCUGGAGGUAUCAGAAGUGCGAAUGCUGACGUGAGUAACGACAAAGCGGGUGAAAAACCCGCUCGCUGAAAGACCAAGGGUUCCAGUCCAACGUUAAUCGGGGCUGGGUGAGUCGACCCCUAAGGCGAGGCCGAGAGGCGUAGUCGAUGGGAAAUUGGUUAAUAUUCCAAUACUUCUGUUUAAUGCGAUGAGAGGACGGAGAAGGUUAAGUCAGCCUGGCGUUGGUUGUCCAGGUGGAAGGUUGUAGGCAUGUAUCUUAGGCAAAUCCGGGGUACUCUAUGCUGAGAACUGAUAGCAAGCUGCACUUGUGCAGUGAAGUGGCUGAUACCAUACUUCCAGGAAAAGUCUCUAAGCUUCAGUUAAACAGGAAUCGUACCCGAAACCGACACAGGUGGUCAGGUCGAGUAGACCAAAGCGCUUGAGAGAACUCUGCUGAAGGAACUAGGCAAAAUGGUACCGUAACUUCGGGAGAAGGUACGCUGCCGGCGGUGAUAGGACUUGCUCCUUGAGCUGUUGGCAGCCUCAGAAACCAGGCCCCUGCAACUGUUUAUUAAAAACAUAGCACUCUGCAAACACGAAAGUGGACGUAUAGGGUGUGAUGCCUGCCCGGUGCUGGAAGGUUAAUUGAUGUGGUUAGCGCAAGCGAAGCUAUUGAUCGAAGCCCCAGUAAACGGCGGCCGUAACUAUAACGGUCCUAAGGUAGCGAAAUUCCUUGUCGGGUAAGUUCCGACCUGCACGAAUGGCAUAAUGAUGGGGGCGCUGUCUCCAGCAGAGGCUCAGUGAAAUCGAAAUCGCCGUGAAGAUGCGGUGUACCCGCGGCUAGACGGAAAGACCCCGUGAACCUUUACUGCAGCUUGACAUUGAACUUUGAUCUUACUUGUGUAGGAUAGGUGGGAGGCUUUGAAGUGGCGACGCUAGUUGCCAUGGAGCCGUCCUUGAAAUACCACCCUGGUAAUAUUGAGGUUCUAACUCUGUCCCGUUAUCCGGGACGAGGACCAUGUCUGGUGGGUAGUUUGACUGGGGCGGUCUCCUCCUAAAGAGUAACGGAGGAGUACGAAGGUGCGCUCAGCGUGGUCGGAAAUCACGCGUAGAGUAUAAAGGCAAAAGCGCGCUUAACUGCGAGACCCACAAGUCGAGCAGGUACGAAAGUAGGUCUUAGUGAUCCGGUGGUUCUGUAUGGAAGGGCCAUCGCUCAACGGAUAAAAGGUACUCUGGGGAUAACAGGCUGAUACCGCCCAAGAGUUCAUAUCGACGGCGGUGUUUGGCACCUCGAUGUCGGCUCAUCUCAUCCUGGGGCUGAAGCAGGUCCCAAGGGUAUGGCUGUUCGCCAUUUAAAGAGGUACGCGAGCUGGGUUUAGAACGUCGUGAGACAGUUCGGUCCCUAUCUACCGUG
rnacentral:rRNA from 1 species